rnacentral:lncRNA from 1 species
ACUCAGCUCUGUCUCCCUCUUUGUUCUCCUUAUUCUUAUACAGCUUCCAUCCCUGUACCGGCUUCCAGAAACUCCAGGUUACACUCUAGCAAGUUCUCAAUCCCAGAGAUAAGAGAGAGACCGGUUCUCAAUAGUUCCAGCAAACUUCACAGGAUUGACUUCACUGGGUGGAUUUUGUCGAAGGAGGUCAUGGAGAAGCUGUGACCACUGGUUGACCUGAGAACCAGACCUGGAGAGUUGGAGGCUCCUCACCCCUCCUCCGCCCUUGGACUGCAUGCUCUGCCCACUGUUCUCACGGCCUUGAGAGACCAUCUGGAUGGUGUUUGUACCUGAACACCAUUAAGGCCUCUCUGGACAUCUUUAAGAAUCCUGUGGGAGUCAGAAAAGGCCAGGGAAGGAGCUCAGGCUGUGAAAGGCCCAGGAGUCUGAGUCAAGUCCUGGCGCUCCUGUAAGAUGGGUUCCGCGAGAGCUCAGCCUUGGAAAGGACCCCAGAAGGCCAUUCUCCAAAGAACAAGUUUGAAAUGGAGAUAAGCUACUGCAUGGCAUAGCAUGAAAAGUACCGGAUUAGAAGUUCUGGUUCUGGGUCCAAGCCUCACUGUCUCACUAACCUGCAAGGUGAUCUUGAAUGAGUUCCUUUAUCUGUGAAGUUUGCUUUUUCUCGCUUUUCUUUUGUUGUUUCUGUCAGUCGCCAAGUCAUGUUCUACUCUUUGUGACCCCAUGGACUGCAGCACUC